AUUGAACGCUGGCGGCAUGCCUUACACAUGCAAGUCGAACGGUAACGCGGGGCAACCUGGCGACGAGUGGCGAACGGGUGAGUAAAGUAUCGGAACGUGCCCAGUAGUGGGGGAUAGCCCGGCGAAAGCCGGAUUAAUACCGCAUGAGACCUGAGGGUGAAAGCGGGGGAUCGCAAGACCUCGCGCUAUUGGAGCGGCCGAUAUCAGAUUAGGUAGUUGGUGGGGUAAAGGCCUACCAAGCCGACGAUCUGUAGCUGGUCUGAGAGGACGACCAGCCACACUGGGACUGAGACACGGCCCAGACUCCUACGGGAGGCAGCAGUGGGGAAUUUGGACAAUGGGCGCAAGCCUGAUCCAGCCAUGCCGCGUGCGGGAAGAAGGCCUUCGGGUUGUAAACCGCUUUUGUCAGGGAGAAUCUUCUGGGUUAAUACCUCGGGAGGAUGACGGUACCUGAGAAUAAGCACCGGCUAACUACGUG
rnacentral:rRNA from 1 species